AGGACGAACGCUGGCGGCGCGCCUAACACAUGCAAGUCGAGCGAUAACCAGGGGCUUGCCCUUGGGGACAGCGGCGAACGGGUGCGUAACACGUGAGCAACCUGCCCCGAAGACCGGGACAACCCGAGGAAACUCGGACUAAUACCGGAUGUCCUCACCGGAUCGCAUGGUCUGGUGAGGAAAUGGAUUCCGCUUCGGGAUGGGCUCGCGGUCUAUCAGCUUGUUGGUGGGGUAACGGCCUACCAAGGCGACGACGGAUAGCUGGUCUGAGAGGACGAUCAGCCACACUGGGACUGAGACACGGCCCAGACUCCUACGGGAGGCAGCAGUGGGGAAUAUUGGACAAUGGGCGCAAGCCUGAUCCAGCCAUGCCGCGUGGAUGAUGAAGGCCUUAGGGUUGUAAAGUCCUUUUAACGGGAAGAUAAUGACGGUACCCGUAGAAUAAGCCCGGCUAACUUCGUGCCAGCAGCCGC
rnacentral:rRNA from 1 species